CAUCUCCAUGGGGUCUAAUGAGAAUUCUCCUAUGGGAUUUUUUCAUUGGAUUUUGGAUCAUUGCAGAAAAUAAUCUCUGUGUUAAACACACGUUUCUGAAGCGUAGGCGUUUUAAGUAAAAAGCUAACGUUAUGCUACAAGCUAACUACACCACGGUCGGAUGAUUGUGACGUCACUAGCGUUAUGCUUCAGAUGAUCUCUGAUAAACUAAUCCACGUAGCUUAAUAAAUAG